rnacentral:misc_RNA from 1 species
GAUGAAGAACGCAGCGAAAUGCGAUAAGUAAUGUGAAUUGCAGAAUUCAGUGAAUCAUCGAAUCUUUGAACGCACAUUGCGCCCUGUGGUAUUCCGCAGGGCAUGCCUGUUCGAGCGUCAGUACAACACUCAAGCUCUGCUUGGUAUUGGGCCCUGCCGGCAACGGCAGGCCUUAAAGUUAGUGGCGGCGCCACCUGGCUCUGAGCGUAGUAAUACUCCUCGCUAUAGACUCCCGGUGGAUGCUUGCCAGCCAACCCCCAACUUUCUAAGUUUGACCUCGGAUCAGGUAGGGAUACCCGCUGAACUUAAGCAUAUCAAUAAGCGGGGA